rnacentral:rRNA from 1 species
CGGUGAAUACGUUCCCGGACCUUGUACACACCGCCCGUCAAGCCAUGGAAGCUGGGUGUACCUAAAGUCGAUAACCGUAAGGAGUCGCCUAGGGUAAAACUGGUGACUGGGGCU